CACAGUAUUGGACAUUAUCUGCACCAUUGCCUUCUUCUUCACAAAGAAGUCCUGCAAACUGUGCACAUGUUACAUGAAAAGCUUGUCGACAUCCGUGUUUAUUACAUGUCAUGCAUGCACCAGUGGCUGCUUUACUUUCUCUGCCUUGUUCAUCACAGAUAUAGCAAGUCUUAUUAUAACGAUCAUGAGGAACGGACUGCAACACAAUAGGUUCCAUUGUAGCGACAUUCGCAAACUGCACCUCGGGAAUGUACAGAGCACAAACCACAUGAGCCCAACCCCCAUUAUCUGUUCUCUUUAAAGCACCAUCCUUAUGAGGGCAUAAUUCACAUCUCACUCUGGCCGCUCUU
rnacentral:lncRNA from 1 species